UUAAUAACUCUGAACCGUCUCCACCUUGGA
rnacentral:piRNA from 1 species